AAUAUUGGACAAUGGGCGAAAGCCUGAUCUAGCCAUGCCGCGUGUGUGAAGAAGGUCUUAGGUUUGUAAAGCACUUUAAGUAGAGAGACAGGGCCGUACGCUAAUACCUUGCUGUUUUGACGUUACCGACAGAAUAAGCACCGGCUAACUUCGUGCGAGCAGCCGCGGUAAUACGAAUGGUCCAAGCGUUAAUCGGAAUUACUGGGCGGAAAGCGCGCGUAGGUGGUUUGUUAAGUUGGAAGUGAAAGCCCCGGGCUCAACCUGGGAACUGCUUUCAAAACUGGCAAGCUAGAGUAUGGCAGAGGGUGGUGGAAUUUCCUGUGUAGCGGUGAAAUGCGUAGAUAUAGGAAGGAACACCAGUGGCGAAGGCGACUACCUGGACUGAUACUGACACUGAGGUGCGAAAGCGUGGGGAGCAAACAGG
rnacentral:rRNA from 1 species